rnacentral:rRNA from 1 species
CCUACGGGUGGCAGCAGUGGGGAAUAUUGCACAAUGGGCGCAAGCCUGAUGCAGCCAUGCCGCGUGUAUGAAGAAGGCCCUAGGGUUGUAAAGUACUUUCAGUCGGGAGGAAGGCGUUGAUGCUAAUAUCAUUAACGAUUGACGUUACCGACAGAAGAAGCACCGGCUAACUCCGUGCCAGCAGCCGCGGUAAUACGGAGGGUGCAAGCGUUAAUCGGAAUUACUGGGCGUAAAGCGCACGCAGGCGGUUGAUUAAGUUAGAUGUGAAAUCCCCGGGCUUAACCUGGGAAUGGCAUCUAAGACUGGUCAGCUAGAGUCUUGUAGAGAGGGGUAGAAUUCCAUGUGUAGCGGCGAAAUGCGUAGAGAUGUGGAGGAAUACCGGUGGCGAAGGCGGCCCCCUGGACAAAGACUGACGCUCAGGUGCGAAAGCGUGGGGAGCAAACAGGAUUAGAUACCCCAGUAG